UACAGAGGGUGCGAGCGUUAAUCGGAAUUACUGGGCGUAAAGCGCGCGUAGGCGGCUUUGCAAGUCGGGUGUGAAAUCCCCAGGCUCAACCUGGGAACUGCAUUCGAGACUGCAUUGCUAGAGUAUGGGAGAGGGAAGUGGAAUUUCCGGUGUAGCGGUGAAAUGCGUAGAUAUCGGAAGGAACAUCAGUGGCGAAAGCGACUUCCUGGACCAAUACUGACGCUCAUGUGCGAAAGCGUGGGGAGCAAACAGG
rnacentral:rRNA from 1 species